CGGGGUGAGUAACGCGUGGGCAACCUGCCUUGUACAGGGGGAUAACAGUUAGAAAUGACUGCUAAUACCGCAUAAGACCACAGCACCACAUGGUGCAGGGGUAAAAACUGAGGUGGUACAAGAUGGGCUCGCGUCUGAUUAGCUGGUUGGUGAGGUAACGGCUCACCAAGGCGACGAUCAGUAGCCGACCUGAGAGGGUGACCGGCCACAUUGGGACUGAGACACGGCCCAA
rnacentral:rRNA from 1 species